rnacentral:lncRNA from 1 species
ACAGCACCCUUCUCUCCCAUAUUCUUCAGACAAAGCAGUUGGCUUCUGGCUUCAGGGCCUUUUCAUCUGUUGUGCCUCUCAAACAGCACACUUUGUUUUAUCUGGUAGCUUGCUCUGGCAUGUCUUGCUUGCAUGACCCCUCCACAUAGAUCCUCCCUGUCUGCUUGGCUUAAACUCCUGGCCUCUCCUUUUCUUUUUUUCUUUUUUUCUUUUUACCCUCUGAGGCACCCAUGCCUUGUAUAUCUUACUUAGUUGUCUUUUGUUCACUCUAGAAUGGUUUCCCCAUUUACCAUGACGAGUCUAUACUCAUGCCCGACUGUGCGUUGUGGAGACUGACCCUGGCUUGUCAUACCAAGUUCCUCCAAUGUUUUCUAUUUGACUGCAGAGGAGGAUCCAACAGAGAUGACCCAACUUCCCUACAACAUUCCAGACUUUGCCUUCAGGCUUUACCUGAUACUAACUUGCUUAAUGAAAGGAAAGCUGGGAAAUACGUGGGUGCUUCUCCCCAGAAUUCGCUGCCAUGAUUCGAGAACCUCAAAGUGAUUGGGGAAAAAUCUAAGAAGCCCCUUCAUCCUUCCCUCUACACACGCAGUUCUCUUCAACUCCACCAAGAACCCAAAGGGUGGACCUUUAUCCCACUUCCCAGGGUACCUGAAUCAGUGGGGUGGAGGCAUCAAGAAAAGAUGGGUAGGUCUUUGAAAGUCAGGCGGUCCACCCAAGAUAGGCAGUGGAAGGAUUCAAGCAAAGCAGUGCAUGGAAGCUAUGGGUAUGGGCACAAGAUCUGACACCGGCAGUGAUGUGUAAUGACUCUGGGCUUUCCUAGCAACUGCCUCAUCUCACCUCACCUGGAAAUGGGAUAACUGGAGGUCAAACUGACUUAACUAAAGUCAUAAGACAGUAGCAGGAUCUGAAGAACCCACUGGGGGUUUCUUUCUUUUUUUUGUUGUUUUUGUUUUUUUGUUGUUUUUUUUUUUGAUUUUUUGAUUUUUUGUUUUGUUUUUUCGAGACAGGGUUUCUUCUCUGUGUAGCCCUGGCUGUCCUGGAACUCACUCUGUAGACCAGACUGGCCUCGAACUCAGAAAUCUGCCUGCCUCUGCCUCCCAAGUGCUGGGAUUAAAGGAGUGCGCCACCACUGCCUGGCCCACCAGGGGUUUCUUGUUUAGAUUUCCAGAUACACUGGACAGAUCUGACCACGAUCUUGAUGCUCAACCCUCAGGUUAGGGAAGCACAUUUUGCUGCAAAUUAUUUUCAAUUAAUUAUGACAGUUUGCUUGAGACACAUGUAUACAUACAUACAUACAUACAUACAUGUCACAAGUAUGUGUGUGUGUAUCACCAUGCCCAGCUCCCCCCACUUAACAACCCAUUGAAUGUGAUUAAUACUACCCUCAUACAUAGAGGCCCAGGCCCAUCCACUGGAGCAUGGGUAGCCUCCUACAGCCUGAGGCAGAGAGACGCCUUCCUAUCAGCAGUUGUCAUCUGCUCCUCAGCAAGUGGUGGCGCCUCACGAACCCCUCUCUAGGAGUCACUUUGAUGUACACAAUAAAGGGUGAGGCCGGUGAGUAAAUUUAUCCACCACUAUGUUGUCUCGUGGAAGAAGUUCAGUGCCCCCAAAACCCUCCACAUCCUCCUGUCUGUCAGUCUUUCUUUUCCGAUGAUUAGAAACUUGAUUGCGUCCAUAGUUUUGCCUUUCCCAAAAUGGUAUGUUGGAAUCACAGAAUGUAGACCUUUUGGAUUGCCUUGUUUGACUAAUAUGCAUUUAGGUUUCCUCUGUCUACGUGAAUGGACCAAGCUCAUGCCCCUGGUGCUGAACAGUCAUCCCAUUGUGUGGCUAUGCCACCUGCUCACCUAAAUGGCAUCUGGAGUAGUGCUAUACCUGUGUGCACGAUACCUGGAUACCUGUGUGCACGAUACCUGUGUGAACUAUACCUGUGUGCACGAUACCUGUGUGCACUAUACCUGUGUGCACGAUACCUGUGUGCAGGGACGAAAAAAAGACAACAAAAGACUUAGGUUAGAGAAGAUGACAGCGUAGAAAGUGCUGAGAAUCCAUCUUUCCACCUAGUUAUAAGCCAUACUUACUGGGGAGCUGGAGACAUGGCUUAAUGGUUAAGAACACCAUUGUUCUUGAAGAAGAUCCAAAUUUGGUUCCCAGCAGCCAUGCUGGGCAGCUUACAACUACUUGCAAUCUAGUUUCAAAUUUCUGCUUUCCAUGGGCACCUGCACGCAGGUGCACAUGCGCGCGCACACAUGCACACACACACACACGCACGCACAAUUAAAAAUAAAUCUUGGCAAAGAUCACAUGAAAUUGGGAGAGAAUAGUAGAGGUAGAGAGAGGGGAGGAAUUGGCAGAGAAGAAAUAGGAAUUAGAUUUAAUCAAAACAUAAGCAUAUAUAAAAUUCUCAAAUAGUAAAAUAAAAAAAUAAAAUCC